GAGCCCGCAAAGCGUCCGAGAAGCAGCCCCGGCUCUGACCCGCCAGCCCUCAGAAGAAGCAGACCCUGGCCGGUGCAUGGCAGUGGCCCGAGGGGUGCCAGCGCGGAGCACCAGCGACCUCCCAGGAACGACGUUGCAGACGAUGCUCUAUCAAGAGUUGGAAGGACUUCCCAGGGAAUCCCACAAGACACUGCGCUUCCUAUGCCUCCUUUCCCUUGUUUAAAAAAUGGGGAUAAGAAGAUUGGCUACUGCUCCGACAGCCCUCGUAAUGGAAGAGUAGCACUUCAUUUGUGGGUUAACAAAGGGCGACGCUGAAAUCUCCACUUCCACUAUUGAAUGGAACUGUGUCAUAAUAUCUGUUAGAGGCGUGCAAGCUCGGCCACAAGGUCAUGGUCAUACGUUAUUGUUGGUCAAAAGCCGCAGCCCUACCUGAGGCUUUGAGAGAUAUGAACACCAAUGACUUUUCUUUUCCUGACUCCCGAAAUACCAAGAAAAAGCAACUUCCCCAAAUGGACAGAAACAGAAAGUACCCUUGGUUGAACACAGAGGCCUGGUUCCAGCCACCGUUAGAAGUGGGAAGGAACUCAGACCCGCUCUCCUGCCUCAUCCCCAAUCCCUACCCCACACGUCACCCUUUCACAGAGAAGGAACCAGAGCCACCAAGGGCUGAGAGAGGACUUGAUAAGGAUUCUAGUCUUCUGUCUCCCCUGUCCCCACCUUUUCCACCACAAAAAUAUGGAUAUUUGGAGGAAGAGGAGAAGAGGGAAGGUACACACCAUGCAAAGGAAGAAAAUGGCAGAACUGCUCUGGAAUCAGGAAUUCAGGAGCAAGAAUGACACAGUGUGUGCCAGAUGGAAAUGCUGGAUUAGGAGAGCACUUGGAAAGGCAAAUAAUCUGCCAGAGAAAUUAUGGGAUGCCCGCCUUCUGAAAAUGGAGGAAAACUGCAAAGGAGUGGCUCAUUGGUGCUCACUCCCAGGGCUCUGAGCAUCCCAAGAAGCCAACUUGGUCCCAUCGUACAUCCCCUCAGAAGUAGGCAUUCUCCUCUCCACCUGCAGCUGUGACCCAGAUAUGGAGCCUGCAUGUUAUGCCACCCCGUCAACACUGAGUUCUGUCUGUGUCUCCCUCUCCCAGAUCUGAUCAGCACCUGACACCUAUCCAUCCUCCAUUUCCCACCUCCCCAAAGCUGCUGGAAAAACUCUGAAAGGUACCUCUGUAACUCAUUAAGCAUCUGAUUAUGUACCUCUUUCUACAACUCCUUUGUUGCUUUGUUUUAAAAUCUAUGGCUCUUUGAAAUCACUCUCCUUCCUUUCACUGCCUAAUGUUUUCAAAGAAGAGUCUACCCCUGUCUCCGCUUCCUCAUCUUACAUUUAUUCCUCAAUUCUCUGAACAGAGACCACCAGGGAAACCCCAAAUGUCAGCUCCAGUGGUUUCAUUUUCUUACCUCACUAUAGCAUUUAGCACCACUCCUUCUUGAAAAUCCCCUCCUUGGCUUCUCCUCCACCUCUCGCCAUGAUUUCUGUUUUCUUCUUCUGGCUUCAUUUCUGCAUCAUCCCUUAAACAUUACAAUGCUUGAGGUUUCAGAUGAGGCUGCUUCUCCCUGGGCAAUCUUAUCCAUUCCUAUCAUACUGAUCCCUCCCAAACUAUCGCCCAGACUUCUCUCUUGAGCUCCAGAUCUGUAAUUCCAAGUGUUUUCUGUACAUCCAUAUCUGGAUAAUCAAUUCAAAAGCCUUUUAAUUACUCCAUGCCCUAAAAUAAAUUCCUCAUCUUCUCACAAACUCCUU